rnacentral:rRNA from 1 species
CAUCAGUUUGGUUUGCUUGCAAACCAAAGCUGGCGACCGGCGCACGGGUGAGUAACACGUAUCCAACCUGCCUCAUACUCGGGGAUAGCCUUUCGAAAGAAAGAUUAAUAUCCGAUAGCAUAUAUUUCCCGCAUGGGUUUUAUAUUAAAGAAAUUCGGUAUGAGAUGGGGAUGCGUUCCAUUAGUUUGUUGGGGGGGUAACGGCCCACCAAGACUACGAUGGAUAGGGGUUCUGAGAGGAAGGUCCCCCACAUUGGAACUGAGACACGGUCCAAACUCCUACGGGAGGCAGCAGUGAGGAAUAUUGGUCAAUGGACGCGAGUCUGAACCAGCCAAGUAGCGUGAAGGAUGACUGCCCUAUGGGUUGUAAACUUCUUUUAUAUGGGAAUAAAGUGGUCCACGUGUGGACUUUUGUAUGUACCAUAUGAAUAAGGAUCGGCUAACUCCGUGCCAGCAGCCGCGGUAAUACGGAGGAUCCGAGCGUUAUCCGGAUUUAUUGGGUUUAAAGGGAGCGUAGGCGGAUUGUUAAGUCAGUUGUGAAAGUUUGCGGCUCAACCGUAAAAUUGCAGUUGAUACUGGCAGUCUUGAGUGCAGUAGAGGUGGGCGGAAUUCGUGGUGUAGCGGUGAAAUGCUUAGAUAUCACGAAGAACUCCGAUUGCGAAGGCAGC